UUUUAUCUUUUGUGGGGUGCAUUGAGAAUGGGGAACGGACGAGGAUUGUGCGUGGUUUUACAUGUGAGUCGUCAUUGAAGUUGAAAGUUUGGAUUUUUUUUAAAAACCUUGCAGGCAAGUUUAGAUUUUUGUAUUAGAUUCUAAGGUAGCAAAUUGAGAUUAAGUGAGAAGAGUUUGAAGUAAUUUAUUGAUUUUAUUGGGG
rnacentral:lncRNA from 1 species